rnacentral:rRNA from 1 species
CAAAGAUGCAAUGGUAAGAGAGCAGAAGUUAAAACAAGGUCAAUCGAAAAGACAUUUAAUUGAAAGAAUACAAGAUAGUAUAAAUCUUUGUGAAUAAAAUUGAGUGCGGGAUAGUGGCGGACGGGUGAGUAACGCGUGAACAAUCUGCCCCGUACAAAGGGAUAGCCUCGGGAAACCGGGAUUAAAACCAUAUAACACUUAACUGCCGCAUGGUAGUGAAGUCAAAUCGAGUAAGAGGUAUGGGAUGAGUUCGCGUCUGAUUAGCUAGUUGGUGAGGUAAGGGCUCACCAAGGCGACGAUCAGUAGCCGGCCUGAGAGGGUGAACGGCCACACUGGAACUGAGACACGGUCCAGACUCCUACGGGAGGCAGCAGUGGGGAAUAUUGCACAAUGGAGGGAACUCUGAUGCAGCGACGCCGCGUGAGUGAAGAAGGUCUUCGGAUCGUAAAACUCUGUCCUUGGUGAAGAAAAGGACGGUAGCCAAGGAGGAAGCCCCGGCUAACUACGUG